GAUGAACGCUGGCGGCGUGCCUAAUACAUGCAAGUCGAGCGAACGGACGAGAAGCUUGCUUUUCUGAUGUUAGCGGCGGACGGGUGAGUAACACGUGGAUAACCUACCUAUAAGACUGGGAUAACUUCGGGAAACCGGAGCUAAUACCGGAUAAUAUUUUGAACCGCAUGGUUCAAAAGUGAAAGACGGUCUUGCUGUCACUUAUAGAUGGAUCCGCGCUGCAUUAGCUAGUUGGUAAGGUAACGGCUUACCAAGGCAACGAUGCAUAGCCGACCUGAGAGGGUGAUCGGCCACACUGGAACUGAGACACGGUCCAGACUCCUACGGGAGGCAGCAGUAGGGAAUCUUCCGCAAUGGGCGAAAGCCUGACGGAGCAACGCCGCGUGAGUGAUGAAGGUCUUCGGAUCGUAAAACUCUGUUAUUAGGGAAGAACAUAUGUGUAAGUAACUGUGCACAUCUUGACGGUACCUAAUCAGAAAGCCACGGCUAACUACGUGCCAGCAGCCGCGGUAAUACGUAGGUGGCAAGCGUUAUCCGGAAUUAUUGGGCGUAAAGCGCGCGUAGGCGGUUUUUUAAGUCUGAUGUGAAAGCCCACGGCUCAACCGUGGAGGGUCAUUGGAAACUGGAAAACUUGAGUGCAGAAGAGGAAAGUGGAAUUCCAUGUGUAGCGGUGAGAUGCGCAGAGAUGUGGAGGAACACCAGUGGCGAAGGCGACUUUCUGGUCUGUAACUGACGCUGAUGUGCGAAAGCGUGGGGAUCAAACAGGAUUAGAUACCCUGGUAGUCCACGCCGUAAACGAUGAGUGCUAAGUGUUAGGGGGUUUCCGCCCCUUAGUGCUGCAGCUAACGCAUUAAGCACUCCGCCUGGGGAGUACGACCGCAAGGUUGAAACUCAAAGGAAUUGACGGGGGCCCGCACAAGCGGUGGAGCAUGUGGUUUAAUUCGAAGCAACGCGAAGAACCUUACCAAAUCUUGACAUCCUUUGACAACUCUAGAGAUAGAGCCUUCCCCUUCGGGGGACAAAGUGACAGGUGGUGCAUGGUUGUCGUCAGCUCGUGUCGUGAGAUGUUGGGUUAAGUCCCGCAACGAGCGCAACCCUUAAGCUUAGUUGCCAUCAUUAAGUUGGGCACUCUAAGUUGACUGCCGGUGACAAACCGGAGGAAGGUGGGGAUGACGUCAAAUCAUCAUGCCCCUUAUGAUUUGGGCUACACACGUGCUACAAUGGACAAUACAAAGGGCAGCGAAACCGCGAGGUCAAGCAAAUCCCAUAAAGUUGUUCUCAGUUCGGAUUGUAGUCUGCAACUCGACUACAUGAAGCUGGAAUCGCUAGUAAUCGUAGAUCAGCAUGCUACGGUGAAUACGUUCCCGGGUCU
rnacentral:rRNA from 1 species